AAAGGAAGUGAAGGAGGGACCCACGUGCACACCUGCAGAGUCUGGCUGGGUCAGCGCCUGGUGUACUGGAGGACCAGCAGGAGAUGGUAGCGUACUUCUCUACAUCCUGUUUUAUUCCAGUAGCAAGAUGUCUGGGAGCUACUUCUGUAUCCGUCCAGGUGAGCUCGCUCGGUCUCUUCGCCGGCUGCCCUUCAGACAGGACAGUAGCUCUCCUCUUUGCCCAGUCGCCACCGUGCCUUAUAGUGUCACGCCCGGCCUGCUUCAGUCAUUCGCGAUUCUUGCCCUCCCCUUCGGCAUCUGAGUUCGCUGACUCUGGCGCAGGUCAAGGACAGAGCGUGCCUCCCAGCCACCCGGCACCUGCCCCUGCUCGCUCCCGAUGCCUGCAGUUCCUGGACUUCCCAGCAGAGGGAGACACCACUCUGCUCGCAAGACCACCCAGGGGGUCUUCCCAGGGACUGCAGUCUUGAAACGUGUGGGCAAGAGAUGCUGUCUGCCCAGACAUAAAGACCCUCUUAACUGGACUGGGAUCCCCCUUAACUGGACUGGGAUCCCCCUUAACUGGACUGGGAUCCUUGCCCUCGGGUCUCCCCUUACCCUGUUUCUAUCCCCGCCUGAACCUCCUGUUUUGACUGAGCCCCACCCUGAGUGCCCUCUCCUCUCCUUAUAGGGACUGUCCCCUCCUUAAUGGGGUGGGGAGAGGCCUUGUCCGAGUCUGGGGCCAGGGACUGAGAAACUGCCCAAGGGCACCACAUAAAGACAGCAUGUAUCUGGGUGCCCCUCCCUGCUGAGAACCGGGGGGGGGGGGGGCCCUUUCUCCUUGCCCCCAGCACGCAGCCCCCAGCAGAGUCUUGACCUCGAAAUCCGCUUUCCCUCCCUACAGUCCACACUCCCGCCAGGAUCCUCUCCCUGGCCCGGCCCCUGUGCCCCUCCGCCCCACCCCCGCUGUGGUGUUGGGGUCGCCUGGAGUCCAGCUGGUGGCCAGUGCAGAGCCACCCCUUCCUGGCCCUGCCCCUCCCCAUGACCCCAAUCCUCCGCCAGCCACUCAAAGGCGCCUUGUUCUCCAUCCAGCCCCCAGACAAAAGUCCCUCUGUCUGAAAAGACGGAAUUGGGGGGAGGGGGCACCCCAACGGAGACCGUGUGGGGG
rnacentral:lncRNA from 1 species